CCAAGGAGUCUAACAUCUAUGCGAGUGUMUGGGUGUCAAGCCCAGACGCGUAAUGAAAGUGAACGGAGGUGGGAACCCUUUGGGUGCACCAUCGACCGAUCCUGAURUUUUMGGAAGGAUUUGAGUAAGAGCAUGGCUGUUGGGACCCGAAAGAUGGUGAACUAUGCUUGAAUAGGGUGAAGCCAGAGGAAACUCUGGUGGAGGCUCGCAGCGGUUCUGACGUGCAAAUCGAUCGUCAAAUUUGGGCAUAGGGGCGAAAGACUAAUCGAACUAU
rnacentral:rRNA from 1 species